GUAUGAUUUUAUUUAUUCUAGGUAAUCUGAUCUCUUCUAGGGGACCCAGUCCUGCAGUUAAGGUCCCUAAAUAAGUCUACUUCGAAUGCAGAGAGACCUGAGGAAGUGAAAGUGACCAGCUGCAAACCAGGAAUUCGACUAAAAGGCUUUGGGGAGCCAGCACACCACCUUGAGGCAUAGAUGCGCAAGUCAGUACUACUGUGUUAAAAACAGCAUCCUUACACCCGGCCCAGCAUGGGGAAAACAGGACAGCAAACAAACAAGUUGAAUCCUACUACCCUCUUUUGCAACUUUCUACUCAGUAAAGAAAUCCCUUUUCUGUAUCCGUUCAGAGCACAGCGACUCCAUGAUCCAUCUUAUCAUCUCAUCCUGACACCUGAUGUUUCUUCCAGAUUGUUACUCUAAGCUCUCAUAUCUACAAGUACAGUUGUACUUGUGGUCAAGUACAAUUCAAGUUUAAAUCUUAAA